rnacentral:rRNA from 1 species
AUUGAACGCUGGCGGCAGGCCUAACACAUGCAAGUCGAGCGGAUGAAGGGAGCUUGCUCUUGGAUUCAGCGGCGGACGGGUGAGUAAUGCCUAGGAAUCUUCCUGGUAGUGGGGGAUUACGUCCGGAAACGGGCGCUAAUACCGCAUACGUCCUGAGGGCGAAAGUGUGGGAUCUUCGGACCUCACGCUAUCAGAUGAGCCUAGGUCGGAUUAUCUAGUUGGUGGGGUAAUGGGCUACCAAGGCGACGAUCCGUAACUGGUCUGCGAGGAUGAUCAGUCACACGGGAGCGUAGACACGGUCAAGACGACUAAGGGAGGCAGCAGUGGGGAAUGUUGGACAAUGGGCGAAAGCAUGAUCCAGCGAUGGAGCGUGUGUGAAGAAGGUCUUCGGAUAGUAAAGAACUUUAAGUUGGGAGAAAGGGCAGUAAGUUAAUAAGUAGCUAUUUUGACGGUACCAACAGAAUAAGCGCCGGCUAACUUCGUG